AAGUUCAAACACCGUCCCCUUUGUUUCUCCUGACUUAUAAGAUGUAUAGAGUAUCUAUCUAUUAUAUAUCAAAUAGGAUGACUGUGAGAAUUGUUUGAUAAGUUCCUUCCAUUUAUGGAUUGUGGUUAUCUGAAACUGAAAAUAAAGCAAAGUUGCCUAUGCAAUCUAUUGGAUGUAAAUCUUCACGCUUGAGAUGCAAGUUGUUUGUAAAUAUUCGCUUUGAAGAUCUGAGUUAGUUAUUUAUAGAAUUCAUGAUUUACUUAUCUUGGAUGUUGCAAGUUUCACAUAAGGUUGAUCUUAUCAAAAUAGUUUCACAUAAGGUUGAUAGAUCUAUCUGCUAGAACUUUGUUGCAUAUGUUAAACAACUCUAGUACUCAAGAAAUGUUAAACUUGGUGUGAAGCAUAGAUUCUAGCCAACCAUGCAAUGCCCUUAAAUUUUAAAAAAGAACACAUUGUAAAAGCAUGAGCAUUGUUCAACUAGCACAGGUAAUGCUAGCGGUCUAAUAUAGGUGGUUUUGCAACUUUACAAACCUCUCUUGAUGCUCUAGGUAUCCAAAUAGAGAAAUAUGGGCAACUCUAUCCUCUAUUUUGAGUAACUUGUGUUAGAAGAACUUCCCUAGAAAAAGCCACUUCCCCCGCCUAUAGAUUUCCAUGCAUCUAGCUUUGAUCUGGUGGUACUCGGUCAGUAAAGUAGUUUAUUAAAUGCUCUUCUAUCUUUUGUUCUUGAAUGGUUAUUUUGAAUCAUAAGUUACUAUAAUGGUCCAUCAUCUUGUUCUCUGUAUAACUGGUCAAAUGCCAUCUUUUUGGCUUGAUAUUUGGAAAGUUAAUUGAGUAUUGGACAAUUAAGAUGCAUCCACACACCUUCUGUUCUUUCAGAAGCUAAUCUUGAUUCCAUAAAACGUGCUGUUAUUGCUGAACUCUUUCCAUCCUUUCAUGAUAUUCCUCUAUAGUUUGCAUUCAUAAGCUAGAGUGGUGUUUCCGGUUCUCCAUUCCUCCUUGUCAUACUUUUCUGCAUUCACUGUCUUCCUUAUCCCAUGUUUCACAUUACUGAAUCUCCAAAGCCACUUUCUUAAGAGUGCUUUGUUGAAUACUCUUCAAGUCUUCAAUCCGAGCACUCCAUACCUUAAAAGAAGAUGUGACCAACUUUUCAAUUCAUUAGAUGAAACUUUUUAUCCCAUUAUUUGUGUUCCACUUUAAAGUUCAUUGAAGUGUCUUCAACUUUUCUAUCACCCUUGCCGAUGCAUGCAUUUUUGGACACUUGAAAAUGUGUUCCUGAUUAGGACCUCUUUACCUCCUUUUGACGGGUACCUUUUCUGCCACUCUGUCAACCUCUUCUCAACUCUUUCUGUUUUUGAAUUUCAAACUGCAACUAAUUGGUGGUCCUAAAUCCUAAUAGUCCUACUUUUUGUGAUGUGUCUAGUACAGUUAUCCUUUUGGUGUAAACUGCAAAUUGUAUAUGGUAUUGCAUCUCUCUUAGACUUCAUUACUCUUCACAGCGCUAAAGGAGAUUGUAGUCAUAUGUAAUAGCACUUGCUUACUGCUAUUUUACUUUAAUAAAACAUCAUUUUGUUUAAUAAUGCCAUAACACUAGUCACUACUAUCUCUUGAUGUCAAAUAAAUGUGCCUUGUUAACAUAUAUAAUUACAGGAAUAUGAAUCUUCACUGUUCAUGACUUCAUGUAGCUCCAUUUAAGCCCAUCUCAGUCAUUGUUGACAUAGAGGUUGUAUAUCAUUUAUGUACCUGUUGGUAUUUCCUGUUAUCCUGAAUUACCUAUUCUCUUUGUAUUUCACUGUUAACUGACUUUUAGGAAUCGAAGGCCUUUGCCAUAGUUUUGGUAUCCUAUUUUGAUUAUGCUUAGUAUUGAGGUAGGACUAAAGAAUUGGUUUAUUCUUAUAAAAUCAGGUUCAAAAUGGAUAUAAAAUUGUCUUUUUGAAGAAUUUUGAUAUUGUAUCUCUGUGUCACUUUUUGCAACAAGAUGUUCCCAUGUUUAUAGAGAAAGAGUCGUUUUUGGGGAGCUGAAGACAUUUUAGAACAGUGGGUAAAAUUUAUCGAUUUGUUGUUUUUUGGAUAAUUUAUGGUUUUCCCUGGUAGUGCUUCUGUGUUUUUCUGUUCCCCCCUUUUUGUAUGAGUUUGGUUAUUUUGUAUUAAUCAUUAAAAGGUGAAUUACAUGUUACCAAUGUCAAAAAAAAAAAACCACUUAAAUAAAUGGGUCAACUUGACCAUUAGAGUCAAACUAAAGGGUAUCAUGCUACAUGAGGUGUCUAAGGACGAUGUUAAGAAGAAAAUCCAAGAUAACUAAAUACUAAUAAAGAUAAAUGAGUAAGAGUUGAGAUUGCAUCUAUGAUGAGAGUGCCAAUGUCCACCUAUACUGAUUCUUUUCUUUGGACUGCAUGCUUUAUGAGCUGAGUCUACUUUUCUCGUUGAAUUGAUAAAGUCCAUUUUUGUCUGGCACAUUUAUGAAGGACGAAUAACUACAACUUUAAAAAGCAAGAAUCUCACCCACAAGGGUGGCUCAGUUGGUUGAGCAUGGGGCUUCCAUAAUGGAGGUCUCAGGUUCGAAACCCCCUCUGCCUACGACAGCAGGGGAUUUGCCUUCUAGGUUGAGCUCGUCACACAUGGCUUGCCUAGUGCGGGUUAUCUCUCGUGUGAUUUGCGGUCUAUUACACAAGAGCGGGGUUUAUCCUGUGCGCACCCAAAGGGUAGCGGCUGCGGGUUCCCUUGUCAUUAAAAAAAAAAAAAAGAAGAAGCAAGAAUCUCAUGAAACUAAUAGAUGGAAAUUUCAUCGAAAAGAAUGAAGAAAUGACAUGCUUAAUAAAUCUCAUAGAAUAACAACAACAACAUACCCGGUGUAAUCCCACAAGUGGGGUCUUGGGAGGAUAGGAUGGACGUAGACCUUAUCCCUAACUUUGUGGAGUAUAGAGGCUGUCUCGAUAGACAUAGGUUUGAAACAGCAGUUUCAAUUGUUUUUAGCCAUAAUGGCCACUGAAAUUUGAGAAGUUAUUUGCUGUGUCAUUUAGAUGUGCAUCAUGAAAUCAGAUGAAGUCUCUUAGAAUGAAACUCAAAGUUAAAUGAGAAACUACUAACGGUCCAAGGUUGUAUGCUGAUUCUAGUGAAAUUAAUUGUGUACUUGUCUACUUGAUAACAUUAUGCAGAUAUCUUUUUGUGUCGGUUUAAUGUUUUGCGCUGCUUUCUUCAUCUUCACUUCACAAUCAAUCUGCACAUGAAUCUGGAAUCACUUGCUGAAUGGUCAUUAUCAACAUCUAGUUUAAUACUUGUUGCAUAGGCUUUAUUUAGAUGGUGUUGCUAGAGUAACCAUUAAGAAACUUCUGCAUUCUUAUAUGGCCAUAUUGACAGUAGUGAGCUGAUGUACUAAUACUUUUUUUU